GUCCAUCAGCCGAGCUCAGCGGCGCACCUAAUCCAACUAAAAAAUAUUCGUUCCACUGUACUCCUUUAGCGAAAAGAAAAAACAAGAAAAAGAAAAUAACAACAAAUGAGUACUGUAGUGUAUUUCACUCUGCAAGCCGCAUGCCAGGCUCUUCGGCCCUGUUUGGAGGAGCUGUUGGCAGUAGAGCUUUUGCAAGUAGAGCUGUUGGAAGUAGAGUUUUCUGAAGUAGAGCUUUUAUAAAAUGUUGUUUAUUGUUUGGUAACUAUAUUUAUAAAGUGUUGUGACACUUUAACAUGUGUUUGAUAAGCAAACUGAGAAAAUACUUUUGUACGACAAAAUUACCAUAAAGAACAUUGCAU
rnacentral:lncRNA from 1 species